CGGUGGUAUAAGAUGGGAUGCGUAGGAUAGCUAGUAGGUAGUGUAACGGACUACCAGGCAACGAUCCUUAGGGGUCUGAGAGGAUAUCCCCCACACUGGUACUGAGACACGGACCAGACUCCUACGGGAGGCAGCAGUGAGGAAUAUUGGUCAAUGGGCGCGAGCCUGAACCAGCCAUCCCGCGUGCAGGAUGACGGCCCUAUGGGUUGUAAACUGCUUUUCUACGCCAAGAAAGGCCCGUACGCGUACGGGAUUGACGGUAGCGUAGGAAUAAGCAUCGGCUAACUCCGUGCCAGCAGCCGCGGUAAUACGGAGGAUGCAAGCGUUAUCCGGAUUCAUUGGGUUUAAAGGGUGCGCAGGCGGGCUUGUAAGUCAGUGGUGAAAUACUAGCCGCUUAACGGUAGAAUUGCCAUUGAUACUGCGAGUCUAGAGUAAUGGUAGAGGUAGGCGGAAUGUGCAGUGUAGCGGUGAAAUGCAUAGAGAUUGCACCAGAACGCCGAUUGCGGAGGCAGCUUACUAAGCCAUAACUGACGCUGAGGCACGAAAGCUUGGGGAGCGAACAGGACUAGAUACCCUGGUAGUCCACGCUGUUAACGAUGUUCACUCGCUGUUUGCGAUACACAGUAAGCGGCUGAGCGAAAGCAUUAAGUGAACCACCUGGGGAGUACGAUCGCAAGGUUGAAACUCAAAGGAAUUGACGGGGGCCCGCACAAGCGGAGGAACAUGUGGUUUAAUUCGAUGAUACGCGAGGAACCUUACCUGGGCUUAAAUGUAGGCUGCAUGAAGUAGAAAUACUUCUUUCCUUCGGGACUGCUUACAAGGUGCUGCAUGGUUGUCGUCAGCUCGUGCCGUGAGGUGUCGGGUUAAGUCCCAUGACGAGCGCAACCCUUAUCGUUAGUUGCUAGCAGGUAAAGCUGAGGACUCUAGCGAGACUGCCACCGUAAGGUGAGAGGAAGGUGGGGAUGACGUCAAAUCAGCACGGCCCUUAUGUCCAGGGCUACACACGUGUUACAAUGGCCGGUACAGAGGGAAGCUACCUGGUGACAGGUUGCCAAUCUUAAAAGCCGGUCUCAGUUCGGAUUGGAGUCUGCAACCCGACUCCAUGAAGUUGAUUCGCUAGUAAUCGCGCAUCAGCCAUGGCGCGGUGAUACGUUCCCGGGCAUGUACACACCGCCCGUCAAACCAUGGA
rnacentral:rRNA from 1 species